GAAGCAAAAUACGUUUCCACUCAGUAAUAACUGCGAGGCUAUACGGACCGCGCGCCUUUCUAUUCGUCGCCCGCGUAAACCUUUACGUCAACUUUAAAAACUUUUUAAAAAUCGAAUCUCUUUAUUUACUCUAUGAGAUUUAUGAAAUAAUACGUUUUAUGUUGCGUUUGUAGUGACUUUACGUUUAUUUGAACUUUUAUGACAGUAAAAACAAGGAUAGAGUCAGCUGUCAUUUGUUUUGAUUAGGAAACGACUCUGUAGCGUUCAUAUUGCCGCUGCCCGGCCAUCUAUUACAGAAAUUUGGGUGCAGCUGUCCUUUUUUGUUGUAGGUAAGUGUUGUUAAAUUAUUUCUUUCUGCUCCCAUAUCUGAUAGAUUAAUAGAUGGAACUGAAUAAAAUAGAGUAGAUUAUAUGUAUAACUCUUCAAUUUAUGAGAAUAAGUUAGAAAAUAUUAAUUUAAAAAAUCAUAUUCAAUUAAAUUUGUCUUGUAUGUAUUUUAAACGCCAAAAUUCUAAAUUACCACGACUACUAAGAUUAAGUACCAGCAGAAACUCAUGUCAAGGAUUAUGAUAUACGUUGUGUCGGAUGCGGGUGAUACGGUUAUACAAUGAGGCCGCUAACAGCACCCUUGCAGAACAAUAAGUUCUCAUGACCCUGCGCUGCACGCGGUGAUUCAUUUGAUUGAAUUACCAAUUGUCACGUAUUUUGAUUCAUGCGAGUGGACUAUUUUGACCUCAAAUCGGCCAGUGAAACUUCUAUGUGCUACGUUGCACACAUUCAAUGAUACUGAACAGCGCAGAUUAGUGGCUGGGGUCAAUUCAUCUUUUUCACUUAUCAACCAUUCUAUUGUUUUUUUGUAAACGUAUAAUAAUAAUAUAUAUUUUACUAUCAGGAAUGCACCCAUAAUUUCUGCAGCCUUAGCUUGUCCACUGUCCAUGGGGAGCGGUUAUCACUUAUUUCUAGAACCAGUAUGCGUUUAUUUACCGGGCAUUUACUAAUAAUUCACGCGUUUUUUAUUACUAACAUUGAAACAUCUUCUGACGCGUAGACGCAAAUUGCUUGACGAAAUACAAUCCUUUAAACAUAGUUAGCAUGUUAAUACGAUUACAUAAACAGAGCGCCUAUUAUGUUAUUUGCAUGAGUGAAAUGAAGUUGUGGUUGAAGAUUACGACUCGGCGUAUUACUGUACUGGAAAGUCUACUAUUACGCGUGUGAGUGCAUUGUGAAAAUACGGCUUUCCAUGCUUUUGACGUUGUGGAGGUUUAAACUGUAAAGAAAAUAAGUUGAAAGCGAGUAAGUUUUAAAUCAGUGCAGAUAUUAAGUUAAUCAUAAAUACGUAUUAUUUUUAAAUGAAACGAAAAUCUAUAGGUGACUUGUAUAAUAUAUUAAUAUUGAGUAUUAGGAAUUUUUCGUUUAUUUUCGCACUACUGAACACUGGCUUCCGGAGUAAUAAAAAAUGUGUUCUUUCUAUUCACCUAGUUGAUUAUUACGAAGCGUCUACCUACAUCAAGGAGUCAAGAAAUUCUUAUAGAAAAUCUGAGAUUUGAUACAAACAUCUAAAAUAAUCUAAUCAGUCUCGAUCAGUCGGCCAAAGUGGACGUGCCAAUAAUUAUUGUUUUAAUUUCUUUUAUUUGUGCAGCAAUUUGCGUAUUCCUAAAUUCGACCAUAUUACAAGUGUUGUGGGUUCAAUAUACCUUAUCAAAGAAUUGGAGAUUUACCACCUUUCGCUACACACCGCUAGCUGUGGACCCCCCCGCACCAUCGGUAAAUCUAUGAGGAAAGAGUGCAGCUGCAUUUUUUAUCCCUCUCCACGCAUCGUGCCAAGUUUAACUAAUACUUAUCGUCACUGCGUAACCGAUCAAGAUGAGCGUUCUGCGCUCACCAAAGGCGCUAAGUGACGUGUCUACGUUGACUGGCUCACAUCCGGACCUUGCCGCAUAUGAAUCUACCUCCUCGGAUUCAAAAACAACUCUUCGAAAGCGUAAAACCCGAAUCGAAUCAUUUAGGAAAAGAAGAUUUCUACGAAUUAAAAAGGAAAUUAUGUCGUUUCUGCAAGAAUUUAAAGAAACGAACGACAACUUUAUGCAAAA